rnacentral:misc_RNA from 1 species
AACCUAGCACACCUGCGGUGUGUACCUGCGGAAGGAUCAUUACCGAGUUUACAACUCCCAAACCCCUGUGAACAUACCACUUGUUGCCUCGGCGGAUCAGCCCGCUCCCGGUAAAACGGGACGGCCCGCCAGAGGACCCCUAAACUCUGUUUCUAUAUGUAACUUCUGAGUAAAACCAUAAAUAAAUCAAAACUUUUAGCAACGGAUCU